rnacentral:tRNA from 1 species
GCCGAAGUGGCGAAAUGGCAGACGCAGCUGACUCAAAAUCAGCCGGAGCAAACACUCCGUGUCGGUUCGACUCCGACCUUCGGCACCA